rnacentral:rRNA from 1 species
AUAAAGAGUUAAAGAAUUAAAGUUGACCCGAUCUCGUCUGAUCUCGGAAGCUAAGCAGGGUCGGGCCUGGUUGUACCUGUAUGGGAGACGGCCUGGGAAUACCGGGUGCUGUGUAGG